AGAGUUUGAUCCUGGCUCAGAAUCAACGCUGGCGGCGCGCUUAACACAUGCAAGUCGCACGAGAAAGGGGAGCAAUCCCUGAGUACAGUGGCGUACGGGUGAGUAACACGUGGGUAAUCUACCUCUUAGUGGGGAAUAACCCUGGGAAACCGGGGCUAAUACCGCAUAAGCCUGAGAAGGGAAAGCAGCAAUGCGCUGAGAGAGGAGCCCGCGGCCGAUUAGCUAGUUGGCAGGGUAAAAGCCUACCAAGGCAGAGAUCGGUAGCCGGCCUGAGAGGGCACACGGCCACACUGGCACUGAAACACGGGCCAGACUCCUACGGGAGGCAGCAGUGGGGAAUCUUGCACAAUGGGGGCAACCCUGAUGCAGCGACGCCGCGUGAGCGAUGAAGCCCUUCGGGGUGUAAAGCUCUUUCGGCAGGGAAGAUGAUGACGGUACCUGCAGAAGCAGCUGCGGCUAACUACGUGCCAGCAGCCGCGGUAAUACGUAGGCAGCGAGCGUUGUUCGGAGUUACUGGGCGUAAAGGGUGUGUAGGCGGUUCUUUAAGUUUGGUGUGAAAUCUCCCGGCUCAACCGGGAGGGUGCGCCGAAUACUGAGGGACUAGAGUGCGGGAGAGGAAAGUGGAAUUCCUGGUGUAGCGGUGAAAUGCGUAGAUAUCAGGAGGAACACCGGUGGGUAGACGGCUUUCUGGACCGUAACUGACGCUGAGACACGAAAGCGUGGGUAGCAAACAGGAUUAGAUACCCUAGUAGUCC
rnacentral:rRNA from 1 species